rnacentral:rRNA from 1 species
GACGAACGCUGGCGGCGUGCUUAACACAUGCAAGUCGAACGGAAAGGCCUUUUCGGAGGUACUCGAGUGGCGAACGGGUGAGUAACACGUGGGUGAUCUGCCCUGCACUCUGGGAUAAGCCUGGGAAACUGGGUCUAAUACCGGAUAGGACCGCACUUUAGUGUGUGUGGUGGAAAGUUUUUUCGGUGUAGGAUGAGCCCGCGGCCUAUCAGCUUGUUGGUGGGGUAAUGGCCUACCAAGGCGGCGACGGGUAGCCGGACUGAGAGGUUGGUCGGCCACAUUGGGACUGAGAUACGGCCCAGACUCCUACGGGAGGCAGCAGUGGGGAAUAUUGCACAAUGGGCGCAAGCCUGAUGCAGCGACGCCGCGUGGGGGAUGACGGCCUUCGGGUUGUAAACUCCUUUCGCCAGGGACGAAGCGUUUUGUGACGGUACCUGGAGAAGAAGCACCGGCUAACUACGUGCCAGCAGCCGCGGUAAUACGUAGGGUGCAAGCGUUGUCCGGAAUUACUGGGCGUAAAGAGCUCGUAGGUGGUUUGUCACGUCGUCUGUGAAAUUCCACAGCUUAACUGUGGGCGUGCAGGCGAUACGGGCUGACUUGAGUACUGUAGGGGUAACUGGAAUUCCUGGUGUAGCGGUGAAAUGCGCAGAUAUCAGGAGGAACACCGAUGGCGAAGGCAGGUUACUGGGCAGUUACUGACGCUGAGGAGCGAAAGCAUGGGUAGCAAACAGGAUUAGAUACCCUGGUAGUCCAUGCCGUAAACGGUGGGCGCUAGGUGUAGGGGCCUUUUGGGGUUUCUGUGCCGUAGCUAACGCAUUAAGCGCCCCGCCUGGGGAGUACGGCCGCAAGGCUAAAACUCAAAGGAAUUGACGGGGGCCCGCACAAGCGGUGGAGCAUGUGGUUUAAUUCGAAGCAACGCGAAGAACCUUACCAGGUCUUGACAUCCCUCUGACCGCUCUAGAGAUAGAGUUUUCCUUCGGGACAGAGGUGACAGGUGGUGCAUGGUUGUCGUCAGCUCGUGUCGUGAGAUGUUGGGUUAAGUCCCGCAACAAGCGCAACCCCUAUUGUUAGUUGCCAUCAUUUAGUUGGGCACUCUAGCGAGACUGCCGGUAAUAAACCGGAGGAAGGUGGGGAUGACGUCAAAUCAUCAUGCCCCUUAUGACCUGGGCUACACACGUGCUACAAUGGCUGGUACAACGAGUCGCAAGUCGGUGACGACAAGCUAAUCUCUUAAAGCCAGUCUCAGUUCGGAUUGUAGGCUGCAACUCGCCUACAUGAAGUCGGAAUCGCUAGUAAUCGCGGAUCAGCACGCCGCGGUGAAUACGUUCCCGGGCCU